UCUUUUUGAGGCCCUGCAAUAUAGUAUGAGGCCUGUGGCCUGUGUGCGGUGCACACUCUGCACAUCCAGUAUUUACGGCACUGGUUACAUAGUUACAGGUUUAAUACUUAAACAAAAUUUUGAAUAAAUGAUUAAUAGCAAAAAUACCUAAUAAUCAUUUAAGAUAGAAAACAAAUAUUAUCUAUGCAUUGGGAUCUAGUGUGUCGGUUAUGAUAAUCAUUCAUUGUUACAAGUAUAACAUCUUCCGGUGAUGUGUAAUCUUACAAUCAAUUAUAAGAGACAAGAGUAGGAGUUGAAAAUGCAGUGACAAUAGACUUCAACACAUCAUAAAAAUAACAAGACGAUGAGAGCGUACCCAAUGACGGACGACGGAUACGAAAAUAAUUCAACGCAAAGAUGGGAAAGUAUGGAAAUCAAUUACCACUGUUAUCCAUGACUGCACAGAAAAUGUGGACCUUUAUAUUGGUGGGACUAUUAAUGAUGACGUGUGUGACAGAAGCAAGCCGUCUCAAUCGUUUCAUGUCCAAUGUUUGUUAUUUUGGGUGUUUGGCUGAAAGGGUUGCUUGUUUUUCAUCAACUGGUGCCAUCUUCGGCACAGUGCCUUAUGGAAUUAUUGCUGUAACACCUGCUUUAGAGUCGUGCACAGUUGUAUUUAGAAUUUGCAAAGCUAGUUGCAUUGCAAUUUUAAUAUCACCCAAGAUAUAGAAGAAAACACUAUAUAACUAUUAACUGAACAAUUUCAAUUGUACAUAUCAUAUAGAUAUGAUCUUAAAUCAUGUCGGUUAUGAUACUUUUUAUUACUUUUUGUAGUCUUGUAGGUAUUAAAAAGUAGAUACGAUUUAUGUAUAGGUACCACUAAAUUGGAUUAUAACAUUUAGUUUUAUAACUCUUAUUAUAGGUAUUGUGUUAGAAAAUAUUAGUUAUUAAUUAAUAAA